UGGCGUCAGGACGGAACGACGUGGCGGGCGGUGGAGUUAGGUCGAUGCAAGUACGGACGGUAGAGGUCUUUAUCGUAAGAUAGAGUUUGAGAGUGGCGAACGGGUGAGUAACACGUAGGAAUCUACCUUAAGACGGGACAACCCAGGGAAACUUGGGCUAAUACCGGAUGAGAGUGCGAGAGAUUGCAUUUAAAAGGAUGGCGAAAGUUGUCGCUUAGGGAUGAGCCUGCGGUCUAUUAGUUAGUUGGUGAGGUAAGAGCUCACCAAGGCGAUGAUAGAUAGGCGGCCUUAACGGGUGGUCGCCCACACUGGGAUUGAGAUACGGCCCAGACUCCUACGGGAGGCAGCAGUCGAGAAUAGUCUACAAUGGCCGGAAGGCUGAUAGUGCGACGCCGCGUGAACGAGGGAGCCCUUCGGGGUGUAAAGUUCUUUUCUAUACGAGCAGUGCUAUAUAUAUGGAUAGUAUAUAUAGAGGGAUAGUAGUAUAGGAAUAAGCAACGGCUAACUCCGUG
rnacentral:rRNA from 1 species